UGCUUUUCUUGUAUAAUUAUAUUUAUUUACCUUCCUGAAGUUCUGAUUGCUUUAUUUUAUUCUUUUUCAGUCUUUGCACUUAACAGGAUUGUUCAAAGUAUCAUGAGUAAAUAUCAGAAUUCUGAUAUUCUCUUGGUCAAAGGAUUUCAAUGCAAUUCUAUCAAGUCGGGAAGGCAAAUAACUACUUAAUCCCCCAGCAAAAAGAGCUCCAUCACCUGCAAAAGCUCAACUUUUCUUUUUAAUCUAGGAAUAUGAGUGCUAUAAAAGAGGUUACUGCUGCCAUGAAAAUAGUAAGUGCUCCAUAAAAUCAAAUCUACAUCUUGUUUAAAUUCUUAGUUUUGCUCUCAUUUGUUAUGUGACUUUGGAUCUAAUUUCUCAG
rnacentral:lncRNA from 1 species